rnacentral:rRNA from 1 species
CCUACGGGGGGCAGCAGUAGGGAAUCUUCCACAAUGGGCGAAAGCCUGAUGGAGCAACGCCGCGUGGGUGAAGAAGGUCUUCGGAUCGUAAAACCCUGUUGUUAGAGAAGAAAGUGCGUGAGAGUAACUGUUCACGUUUCGACGGUAUCUAACCAGAAAGCCACGGCUAACUACGUGCCAGCAGCCGCGGUAAUACGUAGGUGGCAAGCGUUAUCCGGAUUUAUUGGGCGUAAAGGGAACGCAGGCGGUCUUUUAAGUCUGAUGUGAAAGCCUUCGGCUUAACCGGAGUAGGGCAUUGGAAACUGGGGGACUAGAGUGCAGAAGAGGAGAGUGGAACUCCAUGUGUAGCGGUGAAAUGCGUAGAUAUAUGGAAGAACACCAGUGGCGAAAGCGGCUCUCUGGUCUGUAACUGACGCUGAGGUUCGAAAGCGUGGGUAGCAAACAGGAUUAGAUACCCCAGUAGUC